CGAAGGGCUCGAUGGCUGGCGGAGUCGCGGGUGGCCGCCGAUGGCCACGGAAGGGUCCAGCUGAGGUCGGGCUUACGGAGGCCUACUGAAGGAGGUGGUCGAAGAGCCACGCACCUUAUCGAGCGCGUGUUGUGUGCCCGCGCCUGUUUUUCUUGCCGCAGCCGCAGUCACUGCCUUACAAGCAUAUCUGAAGUUGGACUGACUACAUUUCAAGGGCUCAAAAGCCACGCAUUGCCAGUGACCCCUGGGUUAAACAGUGCAGUGCUAGAGGCGGAAGCAGAAAAGAAAUCAAGUGGUAAAAAGUGGCUUCUCUUGGCUGUGGCAGAUUCUCAGACUUUCCUUGUUUUUGAUGACCUUGGCUGUUUUGAGAACUGGUCAGAUAUUUUGUACGAUGCCCCUCUAUUGGAAUUUGUCUGAUGUUUUCCUCAUGAUAAGACUGGGAUGGUGGCUUUGGGGGAGGAAGACUAGAGAGGUAAAUUGCCCUCUCAUCACAUCAUAUCAGGAUACAGGCUGUCAACUUUAUCUAUGACUGUUGAUGUUGGCCUUGAUCACCUGGCUGAUGAUCUGUCAGGUUUCUCCAUCAUAACCGCCCUCCCCCUCCCAUUCCUUACUAUAGACUUUGGAAGGAAGUCACUAUGUGAAACCCACACUUAAAGAGUGGAGAGUCAUGUUCCCCCUCCCUAAGGGUGGAUAUCUACAUAAAUUAUUAGGAAUUCUCCUGCCUGGGAGAUUCCUCUCUUCUCCCCCAUUUAUUAGCUUAUUCAGUCAUUUCGUUGAAUCAGUAUGACCUCCUGGGUAUUUUACAUUCUAGGUUUUAACCUAAUAUUGCUUCAUUUUGUAACUCAAAUUGUUCCAACUGUAGCCAUUAGGAUCUCUUCCAGUUGGCUCCUGUAGCCUUUGACACGCUCCCAUCAAUGUAUUUUGUUUGGGCUCUUUUCUUGUUCUGUAAAUUAUUCAAGUUCAAUUUUUUUCUCUUUUCUAUUUUUCUUUUUAAUUACAUUUAUUGGGGGUGACAAUGGUUAGUAAAAUUACAUAGGUUUCAAGUUUUGGCUUUUUUAGUUGUUUUCUUUGGAGCUCUUCCUUGCUCUGUGACACUACCAGGUGCUCCAAGCCUGUCUUGUAUGUUUCCUGUCCAGUCCUAGAAUCAGCCAUUUCUCCAGGCCUGGUUCCUUUUAUCGGGGAACGGUGUUAGAAACCAAGAUCUGGGCACUGAGAGUGCUCGUUGCUACUGGGGUGUUGUUUCUUUUAGGUUAUUAAUCCUUUUUAAUUGCCCGCAAUGCAGCAGUACAGGCACGCAGCCCUGGGGAUACAACAGUAACCGUGCCAAAUGUGGCAUCUGCCCUCACGGAAGUUAACUUCCGUGAACAAGUUGCGGGAAGUCAACUUGUGGGAAUAAGCUUCAGAGGGCAGCUCUAACACUGACUGGCUUGGGCAAGUGCCACCUUGGGCAAGUUAUUUAAUCUCUUGGAGCUUCUGCCUCCCCUUCUGUGAAAUGGGGGUGAUUGCAACACUUCAUGAGGGCACUGUGAGAAUUCAAUGAAAUCACCCAGUUUUAGAAUCUUUGACACAGAGCCCGGCCUCAAGUGCUUAUUAAGUCCUAUUAAUAGUAUCACACAAAUAAUUAUAAUCUGCAGAGGUUCGGAGUGCCAGCAAAGCACAUAACAGGAGGACCUGCCCUCCUUUUGGGAUUGGCAAGAAGUCUUCCCAAGUCAGUGGUGUUUUGGCAGGAAGGACAAGUCACCAGGCAAAGAGGGACAGAAUGUUUAAGGCAGCAAGGACAGCAAGUGCAAAGGCCCUGAGGCAGGAAGGAGCCUGGCACACUUAGGAACUGACAAAAGGCUAAUGGCAGAGACGUGGGUAGGAAAGGAGACUCAUGGAAUUGGAAGGGGUGGGUCACAUAGGGCCUGGCUGGCCGUGGUGAGUUGAGACCUGGUCCUAACAGCAAGGGAGGUGACUUGUCCAAGUAUACAUGUCUAGUAAGCUGGGAUUUGAACCCUGUCUGGUUGGUCACAGAGAUCUUUAUUUCCCUGGUCUGAAUUUGAGAUGAGAAGUUCUUAUUUUUCAGAUUUUGGGCUUUUUUUUUUUUUUUUUUUCCUGUAAGAAGCACAGUGUUGGUUCUUAGGGGUCAGAAUCAGAGUACACUCCAGCCACCAAAGUUCUAGGUUGUUCUUGCUAUCCCUCCAUCACGAGCCCUGAGGGUCUGUGAGGCAGGGACACAAAGAUGAGUCAGUCUGGGUCCCUGCUCUUGAGGACAUUGCAGCCCCAGAGGAGAGAAGGUCAUAGAGACAUAUAAAUCCAGCCAGGGUGACCAGGGAUGGGUACAGAACACCACCCUCGUGGAGGGCAGUGUCUGAGCAAAGUACUGCAGGAGUGGAAAGGCUGAAUGCGGAGCAGAUGGUGAGAUGGGUCUGGAGAGAUGUCUGCCUCCAGCUCUAAAGGGUCCUGGAGAGUCAGGCAGAGAAAUUGGGAUUUAUCCCAUACCCAGAAGCUGGCAGACUGUAGCCCGACUCGGCUCAGGCCUAUUUUUGCACAGCCUGUGAGCUGCACAUGGUUUUUACAUUUUUAAAUGGUUGGGAAAAGCCAAAAGAAGAGGUUUUGUGACAUGAAAAAAUGACAUGAAGCGCAGUUUCAGUGUCCAUCAAGUUUGACGGUAACACAGCCACACCUGUCGUAUGUGUGUUGCCCCUGCUGCUUUCGAGUGACACCAUCAGAGGAAGAUGUGCUCAGACAGAGGCUGCUUCAUGGCUGUGGAAACUGUCGUCACACAGGGCCUUGUGCUUCUACUGUCACCAUUGCGAAAUGCUUAGUAAUCUGUAAAUGAGAGGCCCCGCAUUUUUAUCUUGCCCUGGGCUCUGAAAAUUACAUAGCCAAACUUCGUGACAGAGACUGUAUGGCCCAGAAAACCUAAAAUAUUUACGAUCGGGCCCUUUUCAGAAAGUGUGUGCUGGUCCUGCUGUGGUGGGCAGAAUAACAGCCCCCCCAAAGAUAGCCAUGUCCUGAUUUCCUGGAACCUAUGACUACGUCACCUUACCUGGAAAAAGGAACUUUGCAGAUUGGACUAAGUAUCUGGAGAUGGGGACAUUAUCCUGUAUUAUCUGCAUGAGACCAGCUGUUGUUCACAAGAAGGAAGCAGGAGAGUCAGAGAAGGAGCCUUGACAACAGAAGCAGAGGUCAGUGAUGCCAUUGCCGCUUUCAUGGCGGAGGACAGGGUGUGAGCCACAGACUGUAGGCAGCAUCUGGAAGCUGGAAAGGGCAAGGAAACACAUUCUCUACUGGAGCUUCCAGAAGGACCACAGCCCUGCCGACACCUGAUUUCAGCCUGGUGAGACCAAUUUCAGACUUCUGACGUCCACAGUGAUGCAGUGGAAAGCCAUGACAUCUGAGCCAUUUACAGGGCUCCAUGUGUGGGUGGGGGUUAUUUGGGGGACAUAAGAAAUGGUUUAAAUGUCAGGUGGGGUGUUCACUGGUCAGCUCCCUAACAGAGCCAGGGCACAAAGCGGAAUGCUCGUUCUGAGAAUAGAAGCCAGCAGGCCCAAACAAGCACAGAGAACCUUCUGACACACGAGCUCUUUGGGGGCCUGACUUCAGUCAGAUUCCGUCUCAAGUGCCAAGUAGGUCAGUCGCAUAGAAACCAGGAAGCUUUAUUUAUUUUUUCUUAGGCAGCUGAGUUUAUUUUCAGGUUCGCAGUUUGGAAUUCAUGUCCCUGAUUCGUUCAGAACUAGAAGAGCGACAGUACUGGCUCCCAUGGGUCACCCGUGGUUCCUGUUUCUGACCUGGAGACCCUAGCCCUGGAGGGGCACAGAAAUGCAGGGCUUCCCUUCAGGAACUGCUCUGCUAAUAACUUCCCCGAACCUUAGUUUUCUUGUUUGCCAAAGGUAGGUGGCACUGCUGCCUUUAGAACACGAGUAAAGCAGGCACUGAGCAGAACGUCUGACGCACCCCAACUUACGUUGUAUCGGCAGGCCCAUAAAGAAAGUUCUGUGAUUAACGCCCCAGAGAGUGGGAGGGGCUCCACUUCUUGUCUUAGAAUCAUGGCUCCUUGAAUGCCACCUCGUUAGAUAACAUAGGGCACCGACCUGAGUGAGCUUGGCAAGUUUUGUUUUCCAGAAUUAAAUUUCUGGAUCUGACCCAUUACCCUUCAACUCCAGCAUCAUUCUGGCAAGAACGACAGUGGGCAUUUUAUCUCCCAUAGGGUCAAAGGUUAGACAAGGUCCCAUAGCCCUGAGUCCCAGGAUCACGGAGUGGCCUGGUUUCCCCUGUCGUCUGAGAGCCAUAUUUCACUUCCAGGUGUUGUCACGUGGUUAUUCUUAUUCCUACCAGUGACCUCGUAGUAGCCACUAUCACUGUUUUUUUGUUUUUUCUGCCCUUUUCCCCUUUUUCUGCCCCACCCCUCCUUCAAGCCGGUGUCUCUCAGUCUAGUUGUGUAGGACACAGCUUCCUGGCCCAUGCUGGUAUUGUGAGUCUUGCAGCGCCCCCCCAACCCCCAGCUGAGGCAGCCGGUCGCCAGUCGGCCGAUCACGGCAGCUCUCGCCGGCUGCUGGCCACUCAUGGCAGCCCACAGCAGCCCACAGCAGCUCACGCUGACCUCCGCCCGCUCAUGGACCCCCAGCUCCAGGGAGAGUUGUUGUUCACAAUCUUAGCUGUAGAGGGCGCAGCUCACUGGCCCGUGUGGGAAUCAACCGGCGAUCUUGGCGUUAGGAGAACAGCGCUCCAACCACCUGAGCCACUGGGCUGGCCCUGUUUUUUCAUUUUUAAUAUUUGGUGUUUGGGAAGAGGGGGGAGCUGGGCUCUAGAAGAGUAUAAACGGGGUCUAAUAUAUGGUGAUGGAAAGAAAACUGACUCUGGGUGGUGAACACACAAUGUGAGAUAUAGAUAUUGUACACCUGAAAUCUAACUUUACUAACAAUGGUCGCCCCAAUAAACUUAAAUUUAAAGAAAAAAAAAGAUUUGUUUUUUAAUCUGGCUGUUCUUUUUCAUGCCAUAUGAGUUCUCUUUCUUGUUUUGUCUCUAAAUGUUUUACAUGUAUUGAGUUUUUUGCAGUGCUUCUUUUUUAAAAAACAAAAACUUUUAUUUAUUUAAGUGUGUUUUUCCAGGACCCAUC